UACGUAGGGGGGCAAGCGUUGUCCGGAUUUAUUGGGCGUAAAGAGCGUGUAGGCGGCCAAGCAGGUCCGCUGUGAAAACUCGAGGCUCAACCUCGAGACGUCGGUGGAAACCGUUUGGCUAGAGUCCGGAAGAGGAGAGUGGAAUUCCCGGUGUAGCGGUGAAAUGCGCAGAUAUCGGGAGAACACCCGUGGCGAAGGCGGCUCUCUGGGACGGUACUGACGCGUGAGACGCGAAAGCGUGGGGAGCGAACGAGG
rnacentral:rRNA from 1 species